CGCUGAAACCUUCAACUUUCUCGGUGCUCCCUUUCUUCUCCAUUCUCAUAUUUUUGCUGUCACCGGAAGUUCUCUUUCUGAGGUAAUAAGAAAGAGAUCCAACAACUGCAACAAGUAUGUUAUCUGAAGGCAAAAAAAAUGAAUGGAUGAUGUUAUUAAUCAAAUGCACUAUUUCAUCUUUAACAGGACAGACAUUACAAUAUGACGAGGAAGGAAAACCAAAACGCAGACGUUUGAAUUCAAAGCCAUUAGAUCUUCUGGCAAGUGGUUUGAUCUAAGGCUCUCUCCGAAGACAAGUCGAUUCCUUGGUUCACUAUGAAUACAUAGAACAUUUCUCGUUCCAUGAAGAUUGAAGAUGCAAAUAAUGUACAAUUUUGAGGCUUUUGAGGUGUCAAGACAUUUAUCUAUGAAUAUAUCGCAAUAAUAAGAUAGACGAAUUUGGAUUUUCUGUUGA